rnacentral:rRNA from 1 species
GACGAACGCUGGCGGCGCGCUUAACACAUGCAAGUCGAGCGAGAACCCAGGCUUCGGCCUGGGGGACAGCGGCGAACGGGUGAGUAACACGUGGGUAAUCUGCCCUCGGCAUCGGGAUAGCCCGGGGAAACCCGGAUUAAUACCGAAUGGCCCAUCCGCUUUUCGGAGCGGCGGGAAAAGGUAGCUUCGGCCUCCGGCCGAGGAGGAGCCCGCGGCGGAUUAGCUUGUUGGUGGGGUAACGGCCCACCAAGGCGACGAUCCGUAGCUGGUCUGAGAGGACGAUCAGCCACACUGGGACUGAGACACGGCCCAGACUCCUACGGGAGGCAGCAGUGGGGAAUCUUGCGCAAUGGGCGAAAGCCUGACGCAGCGACGCCGCGUGCGGGAAGAAGGCCUUCGGGUUGUAAACCGCUUUCAGGAGGGACGAAGCCACUCGGGUUAAUAGCCCAGAGGGUGACGGUACCUCCAGAAGAAGCCCCGGCUAACUACGUGCCAGCCGCCGCAGUAAAAC